ensembl:scaRNA
GUGAAUGUGGAGCAGUUUCCCCACCAAUUAUCUUAUGAUUAUAAUGUGAAAGAAGUGCGAUCACAGACAGUCGCACACAUCAAAACACAUGGUUCCUGCCGACAGGGUCUGUAUAGUUAUCAGAUUUUCUGUGUGAUGGCUCCAUACAAG